AUACGGGGGUGGCGAGCGUUACUCGGAAUUACUGGGCGUAAAGCGUACGUAGGCGGACUGAUCAGUUGGGGGUGAAAUCCCAGGGCUUCACCCUGGAACUGCCUUCAAUACUGUCAGUCUUGAGUUUGGGAGAGGUGAGUGGAAUUCCUAGUGUAGAGGUGAAAUUCAUAGAUAUUAGGAGGAACACCAGUGGCGAAGGCGGCUCACUGGCCCAUUACUGACGCUGAGGUACGAAAGCGUGGGGAGCAAACAGGAUUAGAAACCCGAGUAGUCC
rnacentral:rRNA from 1 species